UGUCGUAACAAGGUUUCCGUAGGUGAACCUGCGGAAGGAUCAUUCGCACGCAUCCAAACGAACCACUGUGCAUUUCUCUUGUGAGGGUCCGGGCGAGGAUGGAGAUGUUUGGUCACAUUCAUCGAUGCCCUCGCCUGGAAACUCGAGGGCAGCAGGGUGGAGUUGGACUGUCUUCCGGCUUCGCUCCUGUUGCCGAGCUUUUCUUUGAACUUUUGCUUCGGCACACCACUGUAACAUCAUCUGGUGGGCUUCCCCACUGAAAUAGUUGUUUACAACUUUCAGCGACGGAUGUCUCGGCUCGAACAACGAUGAAGGGCGCAGCGAAGUGCGAUAAGCAUUGUGAAUUGCAGAAUUCCGUGAACCAAUAGAGAUUUGAACGUAUCUUGCGCUUUCGGGAUAUCCCUGAAAGCAUGCCUGCUUCAGUGUCUCUACCUCUUACUGCCAGCGGCAUCUGCCCUCCUGGGGCAUGUAUGCAGCUGUUGCGUAUUUGCGUGUCAAGGUGUUUCGUGCUUCUUUUAGCGCAGACCCCUGACGCGUUUAGCAUACAAGGGCUUUCUGCGACAAGCAACUCAGUGAGCGUCUCUGAUGCCAUUCCGGUUGUCUUGCUUGCGGGCAGCGCUUUGAUCUCUAUGGCCAUUCUGGCUUUUUCACCAAGACAUGAAGUUAGGUCAGCAAACCCGCUGAAUUUAAGCAUAUAAGUAAGCGGAGGAAAAGAAACUAAAUAGGAUUCCCUUAGUAAUGGCGAAUGAACAGGGAUCAGCUCAGUAUGGAAAUCGGGGCUUCCCAGCCUUGAAUUGUAGUCUCAAGAUGUAUCGCCAACGGAGGCGCAGAUGUAAGCCUCUUGGAAAAGAGCAUCAAUGAGGGUGAGAAUCCCGUUUGUCAUCUGCAGUCCCCCGUGCACGGUGUACGUUCUAAGAGUCGCGUUCCUCGGGAUUGGAGCGUAAAGUGGGUGGUAAAUUUCAUCUAAGGCUAAAUAUGGGUUCGAGACCGAUAGCAGACAAGUACCAUGAGGGAAAGAUGAAAAGGACUUUGAAAAGAGAGUUAAAAGUGCCUGAAAUUGCUGAAAGGGAAGCGAAUGGAACCAGUGCUCUUGGCGAGAUUGUUGUGCGCUAUGGUGAUUGCGGGCUGCUUCAGCGCAAGCGAGGUAGUUUGUAUUGAGCUUGACGCGCGCAGUGUUUCUUACCUUGUGCGUCAUCGUCGGCUCACAGGCGGGGACACUUCUGAGGACAUGGUAGCUCUUCCACGGAGGCGUGAAUGUCUUUGGUAAUACUCGCUCGUAGACCGUUCACCUUCGGGUUACGAUGACUAAAUGGUUCUAUCCGACCCGUCUUGAAACACGGACCAAGGAGUCUAACAUAUGUGCGAGUUCUCGGGUGGUUAAACCUGCUUGCGCAAUGAAAGUGACUGCUGGGAUCUUUGCACCAGCAACCGACCAAUCAAUUAAGAGAGGUUUGAGUAUGAGCAUAUCUGUUAGGACCCGAAAGAUGGUGAACUAUGCGUGA
rnacentral:rRNA from 1 species